rnacentral:rRNA from 1 species
UACGGAGGGUGCAAGCGUUAUCCGGAUUUACUGGGUUUAAAGGGUGCGUAGGUGGGUAGGUAAGUCAGUGGUGAAAUCUUCGAGCUUAACUCGGAAACUGCCAUUGAUACUAUUUAUCUUGAAUACUUUGGAGGUAAGCGGAAUAUGUCAUGUAGCGGUGAAAUGCUUAGAUAUGACAUAGAACACCAAUUGCGAAAGGCAGCUUACUACACAGUUAUUGACACUGAGGCACGAAAGCGUGGGGAUCAAACAGG